rnacentral:rRNA from 2 species
UGUCGUCAGCUCGUGUUGUGAAAUGUUGGGUUAAGUCCCGCAACGAGCGCAACCCUUAUCCUUUGUUGCCAGCGGUCCGGCCGGGAACUCAAAGGAGACUGCCAGUGAUAAACUGGAGGAAGGUGGGGAUGACGUCAAGUCAUCAUGGCCCUUACGACCAGGGCUACACACGUGCUACAAUGGCGCAUACAAAGAGAAGCGACCUCGCGAGAGCAAGCGGACCUCAUAAAGUGCGUCGUAGUCCGGAUUGGAGUCUGCAACUCGACUCCAUGAAGUCGGAAUCGCUAGUAAUCGUGGAUCAGAAUGCCACGGUGAAUACGUUCCCGGGCCUUGUACACACCGCCCGUCACACCAUGGGAGUGGGUUGCAAAAGAAGUAGG